GACGAACGCUGGCGGCGUGCUUAACACAUGCAAGUCGAACGGAAAGGCCCUGCUUUUGCGGGGUGCUCGAGUGGCGAACGGGUGAGUAACACGUGAGUAACCUGCCCUUGACUUUGGGAUAACUUCAGGAAACUGGGGCUAAUACCGGAUAGGAGCUCCUGCUGCAUGGUGGGGGUUGGAAAGUUUCGGCGGUUGGGGAUGGACUCGCGGCUUAUCAGCUUGUUGGUGGGGUAGUGGCUUACCAAGGCUUUGACGGGUAGCCGGCCUGAGAGGGUGACCGGCCACAUUGGGACUGAGAUACGGCCCAGACUCCUACGGGAGGCAGCAGCGGGGAAUAUUGCACAAUGGGCGGAAGCCUGAUGCAGCAACGCCACGUGCGGGAUGACGGCCUUCGGGUUGUAAACCGCUUUCGCCUGUGACGAAGCGUGAGUGACGGUAAUGGGUAAAGAAGCACCGGCUAACUACGUG
rnacentral:rRNA from 1 species